GGGCGGCUUAAUAGAUGACUGGGGCAACUCAUGUUGAAGGAGCCGGGUGGUGCAGUGGGAGUUCGUCCGUCGGAGAAAUUCAGUCAGCACUGUGGGAAUCCGACUGUUGGAGAAGUUUGGAGAGAUACCAUCUGCGGUCGAAAGCCGGAGGAGUCCUGGGAGGGUCAAUCCUGUCAAGAACUUCGGUUGAGGGUAUUUUAUACCCAACAAACAUUAUAGCCAAUUAUUUG
rnacentral:lncRNA from 1 species